rnacentral:rRNA from 1 species
CUGACUGUGAGGCGCGAAAGCGUGGGCGCACACAGGUAUUAGAUACCCGUGGUAGUCCCACCCCGUACACGAUGAUUGCUAUUUGUCGGGCUACACGCCAUUUCGGAGACACAGCUACGCAUUACGCAAUCCGCCUGGGGAGUACGGUCGCAAGAUUAAAACUCAAAGGUAUUGGCGGGGGCCCGCACACGCGGUGGAGCAUGUGGUUUAAUUCGAAGCACGCGCAGCACCUUACCACCUUUUGACAUGCCUGGACCGCCAGAGAGAUCUGGCUUUCUCUUCGGAGAAUAGGACACAGGUGCUGCAUGGCUGUCGUCAGCUCGUGUCGUGAGAUGGUGGGUUAAGUCCCGCAACGAGCGCAACCCUCCCCAUUAGUCGCCAUCAUUUAGUUGGGAACUCUAAUGGGACUCGCGGUGAUAAGCCGGAGGAAGGUGGGGAUGACCUCAAGUCCUCAUGCCCCUUACAGGGUGGGAUACACACGUGACACAAUGGCGAAUACAGAGGGUUAAUCCUUAAAAGUUGUCUCAGUUCGGAUUGUCCUCUGCAACUCGAGGGCAUGAAGUUGGAAUCGAUAGUAAUCGCGGAUCAGCAUCCCGCGGUGAAUACGUUCCCGGGCUUUGUACACACCGCCCGUCACACCAUGGGAGUUGGUUAUACCCGAAGGAGAUGCGCUAACCGUC